UCUUCCUUAAAAGUAAUACAUAUAUUUCUCAAAAAAUAUUAUAAACUCUCUUCACACAUACGUUUAAAGAUCAACGUAUUGUACACAAGCCAUAAAAAUAGGGCAACGCAGAGAAGGGUCUCCACUAUGUUAAACCAAAGCCUUGCUCGUCUUAUUAAUUACGAGAUUAACCUUUAACGGGCAAAACUCUUGGGCUUCAAAAUAGAUUUGUUUUACGUUCGCUGAUAUUGUUCAGGGACCGAGCCUAUCAUUUAGGGACAAUUUCUACAGAUCUACUUUUGCACACUGAAA